rnacentral:lncRNA from 1 species
AAAUGGAAGAAAAGGAGGUGCAAAAAGGAGAGAAAAAGAACCAAAUGCCAAAGCCCAGCCCAAAGCGCAAAACAUAAAGGCACUACCUGUGACGGACGUCACAAGGUGCGUGACGAGCGUCACGCAAAGCAGCCUUGUGACGGGCGUCACACAUGGUGUGACGAGCGUCACACCAUUCCACUAUCUUUUUGGCGCAAGUAACGCCCUCA